GAAAAAAAAUAGAAAAACUGGAACGAAGGGAAACAGAGGCGGCGAUCACAAUUGGAGAAGAAAAGUUGGGGAGGAAAUUAGAAUCAGGUAUUUAUUCUUCACCGGUAGUACAUGACAUUAACUUUAUACAUGAUUUAGUUUGUAGUUAUUAUACCCAUCGUUAGGAGACGAGAAAAUAAUAUGACAAUGAUUACUUCGAAUUAAAUGGAGGUUUCUGUGUACAAUGUUUAGGAAAGAAUACACUGUACCCAUUUUGGUUUCUGCUACAGUGUUAUUACACACUUUCGAAGUCUUGCUAUUACACGGUUUUGAUGUCUUUAAUUUGGAAUAAUGAUUACAUAAUGAUUGUAGUAAUAAUGAUUUAAGUUUUGGGAUUUUAGACUGCAGUAACUUUGCAUCAGAAAGUCACGUUCUGCAGUUGCACUGCUUUGGCAUUCACGUUCUGCGUCUGAUUUUAGAAAUUCUAUAAAAUCAUAACUUUAUUAAUUGAAAUUGUUUUCUCUUGCAUUGUGUGAUGUAUUUAACUCGUCUUUGGCUAGAUUGAGCCGAACGGAGGUGAAUUUGUAAAGGAAAAAGCUAAAUUGAGUAUUGAGUUAGCCGAAUUUAGGUAAGUGUUUUGCCUAACUUUGUUGAGAAAAUUUUUCCUACUAUUUGACAUUGUUUGCUACAUGCGGGGGUGAUACAUAUAUGAGAUGACGAUUAUAUAUGCAUGUGUCAUGGUAACCAAGCUCGGGGGUAAAAUAUGUUAAUAAAUUGUGUCUUGUAGAAUCACGUGAUCUUCUUGCCUCAUGUCUUACUUGGCUCCUAGAUACUAAGACCAUAGUAUUAAAUGUUAGAAACUAAGACUUAGCUUAUUAUACCUUGAUCAAAUUUGAUAAAAAUUCUGAGAAUACAUUGGUGUAUUUAAUUCGGUCAUCAAUAUGCAUAAUCAUUAAUACAUUGCUACGGCCG
rnacentral:lncRNA from 1 species